GGCCGGCUAGCGUAAUGGUUAACGCGUCAGUUUCCGGUGAUUAUGUAAGCUGAAGAUUCCAUGUUCGAGUCCUGGGUUGGUCG